rnacentral:tRNA from 1 species
CAAAUUAUGCUAUAGAGGCGUUUAUUAUUUACAUUAAUAUUUUAUUUGUGCGAUUCAAAUUAAUUUGA